rnacentral:tRNA from 1 species
UCCUGAUGGCUCAGUGGAUAAAGAACCCACCUGCAAUGUGGGAGGCCUGGGUUCGAUCCCUGGGUCAGGAA